rnacentral:rRNA from 1 species
CUUGCUGGGUGGAUUAGWGRCGAACGGGUGAGUAACACGUGAGUAACCUGCCCUUAACUCUGGGAUAAGCCUGGGAAACUGGGUCUAAUACCGGAUAGGAGCGUCCACCGCAUGGUGGGUGUUGGAAAGAUUUAUCGGUUUUGGAUGGACUCGCGGCCUAUCAGCUUGUUGGUGAGGUAAUGGCUCACCAAGGCGACGACGGGUAGCCGGCCUGAGAGGGUGACCGGCCACACUGGGACUGAGACACGGCCCAGACUCCUACGGGAGGCAGCAGUGGGGAAUAUUGCACAAUGGGCGCAAGCCUGAUGCAGCGACGCCGCGUGAGGGAUGACGGCCUUCGGGUUGUAAACCUCUUUCAGUAGGGAAGAAGCGAAAGUGACGGUACCUGCAGAAGAAGCACCGGCUAACUACGUGCCAGCAGCCGCGGUAAUACGUAGGGUGCGAGCGUUAUCCGGAAUUAUUGGGCGUAAAGAGCUCGUAGGCGGUUUGUCGCGUCUGUCGUGAAAGUCCGGGGCUUAACCCCGGAUCUGCGGUGGGUACGGGCAGACUAGAGUGCAGUAGGGGAGACUGGAAUUCCUGGUGUAGCGGUGGAAUGCGCAGAUAUCAGGAGGAACACCGAUGGCGAAGGCAGGUCUCUGGGCUGUAACUGACGCUGAGGAGCGAAAGCAUGGGGAGCGAACAGGAUUAGAUACCCUGGUAGUCCAUGCCGUAAACGUUGGGCACUAGGUGUGGGGACCAUUCCACGGUUUCCGCGCCGCAGCUAACGCAUUAAGUGCCCCGCCUGGGGAGUACGGCCGCAAGGCUAAAACUCAAAGGAAUUGACGGGGGCCCGCACAAGCGGCGGAGCAUGCGGAUUAAUUCGAUGCAACGCGAAGAACCUUACCAAGGCUUGACAUGUUCUCGAUCGCCGUAGAGAUACGGUUUCCCCUUUGGGGCAGGUUCACAGGUGGUGCAUGGUUGUCGUCAGCUCGUGUCGUGAGAUGUUGGGUUAAGUCCCGCAACGAGCGCAACCCUCGUUCCAUGUUGCCAGCACGUAAUGGUGGGGACUCAUGGGAGACUGCCGGGGUCAACUCGGAGGAAGGUGAGGACGACGUCAAUCAUCAUGCCCCUUAUGUCUUGGGCUUCA